rnacentral:lncRNA from 1 species
AAUAAACUACAGAUCAACUGGGACCGCUGGUUGACAUUCCUUUCUUGACAAGCAAGAGUUACGAAGCACGAUCACAUCUGUUACAGUGACUGUGAGGAGCUUGUUCAAAGUGGAGAAAAUGCCUUGGAUUCAGAGCAAGCAAUCAUGACUUAAUUAGAAAGCAGCAGGAAUCUUAUCGCGUCAAAUUAGCACCCGGCAGAUUCCUGCUACAAAGAACCAGGCAACCGAAAAAGCCUGGAGACAGGCUGAUUGGUGCUGCGAGCCCUACACAGUAUGGUGUCUCGAGCAUGGCUGUAUGUGGGCUCUGGGUCUACCGAACGAACGCCUCUGCCAGUCUGUCUGGAUGUAAACUGUAUUUAAUGGUGUAUGAACAUCAAAGCGAUGGGGGUGGCAUUCAAAAUAAACACAUUUCAUUUAAUGCAGUUCGAUGGAAUUUUAUGAUGAAAGUGAUGAACAUCUCUCACUUCUGG